rnacentral:rRNA from 1 species
AGCGAACGCUGGCGGCAGGCCUAACACAUGCAAGUCGAACGAAGUCUUCGGACUUAGUGGCGGACGGGUGAGUAACACGUGGGAACGUACCUUUUGGUUCGGAACAACUCAGGGAAACUUGAGCUAAUACCGGAUGAGCCCUUAGGGGGAAAGAUUUAUCGCCGAAAGAGCGGCCCGCGUUAGAUUAGCUAGUUGGUGAGGUAAAGGCCCACCAAGGCUACGAUCUAUAGCUAGUCUGAGAGGAUGAUCAGCCACACGGGGAGUGAGACACGGCCCAGACUCCUACGGGCGGCAGCAGUGGGGAAUCUUGCGCAAUGGGCGAAAGCCUGUCGCAGCCAUGCCGCGUGAAUGAUGAAGGUCUUAGGAUUGUAAAAUUCUUUUACCAGGGACGAUAAUGACGGUACCUGGAGAAAAAGCCCCGGCUAACUUCGUGCCAGCAGCCGCCGUAAGAC